CCUGGAGUUCAACCCGUGUCCUGGGGCUUGUCCAGGUGGAACCUGGGCACCUGCUGCUUUAACAACCUACGCUAGUGUUGUGUUAGGGGCUGCCGGGAGGGGCCUGGAGGCUGAAGGUCAAGGUCUGAGCCGACUGACCUUUGAACCCCAAGCUUGAGUCUAACCAACGGGCGUCGGUGUGGCGGCGGAGCAGUCCUGUCCCUGGGCCGAGCCCCACAGGCGUCCCGUCCAACAAGGCACCUGAGUCUUGGCGCUCGCGGAGUUGGGAGCCCCGACAGUGAGGACUACAGCUCCUGUGCUUUUUUUGACCUCUGGUCAAAAGAGGGGUGUCCUCUUGGGGGUCUAGGACUCUCUGCACCGACUCUUCGGUGAGUGUCUGCGAACAGGGGCCUGUGUUUGCUUCCAGGCUCAAGUCAGUGCGACCCGGUCCCCACACCGGGCGGGGGAGGAGGGAGAGGGGGCGGGGCCUGGGGAGGCAGUUCCCGCCCCACCCCCAGGCACACCGUCUGCCUGCCUCUCCCAGCGGGAUCUUCCCUCCCCCGAAGUGUGUGCCAGGGGGCUGAGCCCCCCACCCCAGAAGAGGAGCGGCCCCUAAUUGUGCAUGACUAAUUGCCCUCUUCACCUGUGCAGCUGGGCCGGCCCCCUCCCCUGGGCCCUGAGCUUGUUGGUGGAAGGAAAACGGAUUUCCCCAGUUCGGCAGACUUGGGGGGGUAGUGAACCUACUGUGGUUUGGAGCAUUUAUCAUUCACAACAGGCCUCAUUCCCUCAAGGAGGGUUUGCGGUAAACAACUCAGAAGACACCCCUCCUACUCAGCCGGGGCUCCUGACCUAAGGGAAGCGGCUACACUGUGCCCCAGGGUUUGGGGCAGAAACCUGGAAAGGCUCAGGUCGCCUGCCCCCAGCACCAGCAGGCGCUCAGGGGAGCCACAGGCCACUCCCUAGGCCCAGCCAGCCCUCCAUCCUUUUUCUAAGAACUAUAUUGGUGUAUAAUUCACACACCAUGAAAUCCCCCCAGGUGUAAGGUCACAUCUCAGUGCUUUUCAGUAAGUUUAUGGACUUGGGCUCCCCCCAUCUCCCCAGCACAAUCCAGGUGUAGACCAUUUCCAUCAGCCGCACAAGACUCCUUGUGCCUCUUUGAGGUCAGUCCCUGCUCCCAUCUCCAGCCCCAGGCAACCACCCGUCUGUUCUCCUUGCCUGUAGAUUUGCCUUCCGUACACUUCCUGUCAAUGGAAACUUACAACAUGUAGUCUUUUGUGUUUGGUUUCUUGCUUCUUAAAAAACUUGAUUUUACGGUCAUAAGAACACCCCCUUAACACAAUUUUCCGUGUAAGAUGCAUUAUUGCGGACUGUAGGUGCGUUUGGUUUCUUUUCCUUCCCAUCAUGUUCCUGAGGUUUCUCUACGUGGCACGGAUCAGUUGCUCGUUCCUUUUUAUUGCUGACUAAUUUUUCAUUGUGUGGACGGGCCACAGUUUAUUGAUCUGUUCAAUGUGAACGUGUGUUUCCAAUUUUUUUUUUUUUUUUUUUUUUUUUUGCUCUUAAGACUACUGCUGCUAUGAAUGUGUACAGAUCUGUGUGUGGGCCUGUUUUCAUUUCUCUUGGGCGGAUACGGAGCAGUAGGACUGCCAUGUCUUACAGUAGUAAGUGUGAGAAACUCCCUUCCAGCGUGGCCACACCAUUUACAGUCCCACCUACGGUGUGUGAGCGGCCCAUUCGCCACCUCCCCGCCACUGAUUGGGUGUGGUCAGUCUUUUUAUUGUUGGACUCACUAAUAGGUGCGUGGUGGUGUUUCAUUGUGGCUUUAACUUGCAUUUCCUAAAGACUGGAGCCUCUUUUCCUGUUGGCCUGUUGGUCUUCUGUGUAUCUUCCUUGGUGACGUGUCUUUUCAAAUCUUUUCCCCUUUUAAAAAAUUGGGUCAUGGGGGCGCCUGGCUGGCUCAGUCAGUAGAGCGUGUGGUUCUUGAUCUUGGCGUCAUGAGUUCGAGCCCCCAUUGGGUGUAGAGAUUAAAAAUAAAAUAUUGGUGUUCUUGGA